GAAUCUUAUUUCCUGUGCUUCUGAAAUUAUGAUUUGCAUACAUUUGUAAUCAGAAAGAGCGCACACAACAACAUGAUUCCGAGUUUCAUAAAAAAUAAAAAAAUACCAAGAUCAGUCGCACAUUCACACUUUCAGAUUGCUAAAACACGUGAAUCAACUAGGUUGACAUGAAUUUGUACUAAGGGUAGGCCGUGGCCCCCUCUCGAAAGAGCUCCCACUUCGAGAUAGGCGUGAUCAAAGCUGGCAUGGGACAUUACGCAGCACUGAAGCACUGACCCACCGAAAUAGCAAGGUCCAGCGAGACAUUGCCAAAACAUUAAAUACAUUUCAUAGGAUAACGACUAGGAACUUAUCUCUCUUUCAAAACAAGCAAUAUUGUAUACGUAAAUAUUUAGGCUCUAAUGUUUAAGAUAUCGGGACUUUCAUAGCACAAGUACAUCGUUAUCAUCAUGUCUAAUAUCAAUGAUACAAAAAUAUACGUAACUUAUUGUUUAGCCACAAUGCAUUCAAUAACAAUAUACUCGUAUCAAAUAAAUAUUGUUAAUAUUCAAUAACAUAUUAUUAUUAUUAUUAUUAUUGAUUAUUUGGUGAGGGUGAGAUUUGGCGUAAUAGAAACGUUACUUCUUUGUGAUUGAAAGGUUAUGAGUUCAAAUCGUGGAAGUAACUUCUUUGUAAAACAAAAUUAAAGUUACGUACAAUAAAUGUUCCUCUUCCCGAUCUUAACAAAGCGGGAAGUAUUGUAAUCUUGAUGUCGCCCUUUAUUGACUCUAAGUAACAGUUGCACAUUUGGACCCAAAAAAUAAGAUGAGAGGAAAUAAAUGGUCCUGGGUUGGCGGGUGGGGAGAGAUUCUUGGUAGUGGAAUCUGGCAUAUGGCCAACUAGUCCAAUAAUGGUAUGACUAGAAAUAAAUAAUCGAAGAUAAUGAAAACCCUUAAGUUGUACGGCCCGUCCAACAAUGUAAGUGCAGCCAACAGGUUCCUCUUUGGAUUCUUUUGUUGAGUAUUUUGGGAAUUUAUAAAUUGUGUUUAUUCAUCGUAUAUUGUAAGAUCAGUUUUUAUCAGUUAUUGUUUGUAAUUAAUUUUAAAUAAAAUAUUAAAAUGAUUUCUAACUAUACGAUAUACGAUGAACAUAUAUAAUUCACGGAUUCCCGAAAUUUUCAUAAAGAAGAUCCAAUGAGGAUCCAGAUUCUAAGUAUACUAUUCAAAUUCAUAUUCAUAAAAUAGAACAUUCACCUCAGACAUCCUCUAUCACUAAAAAUAUAAAAUUCAUGAAUAAAGCAUUUGAUUAUUACAACUUUACAAGUGGGGUCCGAAAGUUGUAGAUGAGAUUAAAAGGGACAAUUUUAAUUUAAUUUAUAAUACAUGGUAACUUUGGUAAUGUAUUUUGAUGUCGAGUGCAAGAAGAUGAACAUGCUAUCUUGAUCAAUCGAUUCAAUUCACGCGUAUUAUGUUUUAUGAAUGUUUAAAAAUUGUUGUCAGGGAUGGCUCUUAGUCUAAGAAGCAUGCAUCAAGUGGGAAAAAAUGAAUUGCAUCGAGAACAUGGUGGAGUUUUAUCACUUUUCCUUUAUGCAUUAAUUUUUCAGAUUAGAGUUGAUGAACAAGCUAAUACAAUUUAAUUAUUGUUUAAUGUCUCGAUAUGGUCCCUAGGUAUAGUUAUAUAAUUUUCAACUUGCUAGUAAGUGUAUGAGGUCUUAAGCUUAAUUCUCAUAAAUGUCGGAUAUUAAAUUGUGCAGAGUUAGUCCAACACCACUCUUAUAUUAUAUGAAAAUGAGACGUUUUAAAGUGACACGGCUAGGGCUCAUGGUCAUGGGCCCUUGUUCUAAAGGUCUGAAAUCAAUUGUUGUCCUAGAUGAAUAAUGCCAAGAAAGGGUGAACACUCCAAGGGUUGACUAUACUAUCUACAUUUCGAUCUCAAUUUAACUUGUACUUGAUUUAGGCCUUUUGCAAAGUCAUGUAUAUGUGACUAUCUAGUGUGAACAAGUGUGAAUUUAUUUCUUUUUACAAUACGACAUUUUAUUUAGAGAAUGCUAUAGAGAUUAAAUUUGUAAAUAAAUUUUGAAAACUAAAUGACAUAGAAGUUGAUGAUUGAAUUAUUAUUUAAGUUUUGAUAAACAUGCUCAUUUCUAUUAGUAACGCAUUAUUUAGUUUACAAAUUAGUCUACUUUAAUUUGUAGAGAAAAGAUUCAAAUUCGUGUACAAAGCGAUUAUCACAAUGUUCUGAUCAAAUGCUCUGACAAACAUUUUGCACUUGCAAACUAUUUAUUUCAAUGGGAACAAAUUCUUAACUUUUUUUUCUAUGAACUAUAUUGAAAAACACAAAAAUUUGAAGUUUGUCAUAACCACAUAAUUUUAGACGUAAAUACCUGGUCAGCAUGAAUUUAUAACUCAUCAACUCUCUUACAUACGAAUCUGUAAAAUCAUCAUAGAGACAGGUCGAAGGCUUACUUUCAAUAAUACCGAUAUUGUUCUCAACUUGAUAAUUACCACUUGUACAUCCAUCAGUUAUAAGGUUUUAUCACAAAAGGUUUGGUAUUAGUUGGAGUGAGGUUAGGAUAUUUAAACUUCUUUUCUCAAAGAUACGGUCAACGUGUAAUAUUUCAACACAUCCACUUACGUGGGACCCAGUUAGUGAGUCACACGUGAGAGAUCCACAUAUCAACUACCAUAUGGAGCCAACGGGACUCACCCUACAUGCAGGACCACAAGACCCACCA
rnacentral:lncRNA from 1 species